AUGAAGACUAAGAGUAGAGAAAAUGGAGAAAUAAAAGGAAAAACAGACUUGAGUACUAAAAAAUUUAAAAACUUGUAGGUCAGGGAACAACAUUGAAAGCGACAUCGAAAGCAAUUUUAAGAAAACUGAGACAAAGAGUUGCCUUAAAUCUGCUUGACAAACCGUUAAUGUAAUGACCUUGUAUAAAUCUUUAACAUUACAGAUUUCUUUCCCUGCCCACCUUGCCCCGUAGUAGUAAGCAUGGCUGUAUACAACAGAAUACACAGUGACUUCAGUGAGAUGGCUGAUGUGAGCAAAGUCUGGAGAUGAUUAGCAGUGCAAGGCAGGUUGUAGUUCCAUGAAGUCACCAGCAACCAGGCUCUUUGCAGUUUAACUAUUCUACCAUUCCCAGGGUGGCCUUCGUCCUCCUGUUCCUGCCAGAGCAAACAGCAUCACAUCCAUGUUCCUGGCAACAGAAGCAACAGAGGGGAAGGACUCUAGUAUGGGAUUCCUUUUUACUUACAGUACCCUGCCCACUGGCCAGAGUAUUUCAUCGUUGCAGAGGCAUCUGCUGAAUUAAUGGUUACAUAAAAUGCCAUUUGCACUGGCAUGAAAAAACAAAGUGCUUAAGAAACCGAACAAAAGCUGUGCAAGACCUCUCAGAUGUUUGUUAUAAAGUGGCCCAGAAAAGGUGGAUUUUCUGUUGAUCUCUUUGUAAGGGUAUCUAACCAAGCUGCAGGCAACAUGUACAAGCAGUUGGGCUACAGUGUACACAGGAUAGUCAUAGAGUAUUAUUUGGCCAGCAAUGGGUAGCCUGAUGAGGAUGCUUAUGGUAAGCUCUUUUCUGCGUCAGUACCCCCAAGAGGAAGCCAAAAACAGUUACAUUCAUCUACAGAUUGAAAUCUUCAUUUAUUUUAACAAAAUUAAAAGAAUCUUAUUUGACCCUAAUAUUUAAAUCUCCUUUAACCUGCUUUUACAAACCUAUUCAUAAUUAACUUAUAUGAACUAAACGAUGGUUAGUUUCUGUAAAUUAUUAUUUUACUGUGUUACUGGCAUGUUAUUUUGCUAAUAAGAAUGAACAUUUAUAUGAUGAGCUGAAUCCUGGGUAGGGUUUGGUUAGCAUCUGUUAUACUUGCAAUUGGGAGUCUCAUUUAUAAAUACAUUUUGCUUAGAAUCUGGUAGAAGUGGGGGUUGGGAACAAAACUUCUUAUGGGAACUUUACCUAUACACUUUAAGUUAGAUAUAAAAUGUUUUGAUAUUUGGGUGUUUACCUUAAACUUUGCUUCCUUACAAUAUGAGGAAAGCACUUUCCAGGGACACUGAGAAGAAAUCCAUCCUACCAUUACCUCAUCCUGUGAGGCCCGAAGACAUUGCAUAACCAUGGGCAGUGGUUCUUAGUUAGGCAGAUGCUCCAGAUGUUUUAUGGAUAAUGUUAUUUUCAUUGGAUUAUCCUGGAGUUCUAUUAGGAGAAAAAGUAAUCAUCUAGGUCUGAAAGGCUUCAAGAAAAUACAGAUUAUCAACUUAUUUUAAAUCUCAUUGUUUCCAGUUAGCAAUAUCCUGCCUAUUAAAGCUGUUCACAGUAAUAAAAUUUAAUCAACAAGACAGGUCAGAAGGAAACAUUUCAUUCUCAUGGUUCAUAAUAUUCGCUAUAUGCUAGGGAAAAGACUUGUUCCAAUCUCCUCUUAAAUUCUGUGCCUGAGAACUACUGCUACAUAUAUAUUUCUUGAAUUUUGAACUGUUAAUUGAAGCUUUAAAAGCACAUAUGAAAUGUAUAAAUCUAAGAUAUGUAAUAAAAUACACUGUUGACUCUGAA